rnacentral:rRNA from 1 species
AGGAUGAACGCUAGCGGCAGGCUUAACACAUGCAAGUCGAGGGGUAUAGUUCGUCGGAGCUAGAGACCGGCGCACGGGUGCGUAACGCGUAUGCAAUCUACCUUUUACAGAGGGAUAGCCCAGAGAAUUUGGAUUAAUACUCCAUAGUAUAUAGAUGGCGCAUGCUGUUUAUAUUAAAGUUGAGGCGCUGUAAGAUGGGCGUGCGUGCUAUUAGCUAGAUGGUAAGGUAACGGCUUACCAUGGCUACGAUAGGUAGGGGGCCUGAGAGGGUGGUCCCCCACACUGGUACUGAGACACGGACCAGACUCCUACGGGAGGCAGCAGUGAGGAAUAUUGGUCAAUGGGCGCAAGCCUGAACCAGCCAUGCCGCGUGCAGGAAGAAUGCCCUAUGGGUUGUAAACUGCUUUUAUUUAGGAAUAAACCUUACUACGUGUAGUAAGCUGAAGGUACUGAAUGAAUAAGCACCGGCUAACUCCGUG